rnacentral:rRNA from 1 species
CCUGAAUAUAUAGGGCAUUUGGCGGGAACUGGGGGAACUGAAACAUCUUAGUACCCCAUGGAAAAGAAAGUAAACAACGAUGCCGGAAGUAGUGGCGAGCGAAACCGGUACAGCCCAAACCUUUUAGAUUUCCGUUUGUUCGCAAACGGAUAAGUUGAUAGACGAAUAUCUACAAGGGGUUGUGACACUACAAACACCCAGUCCUGAUGAACUAUCCUCGGAUAGAGCAUCGGGAUUGGUAGCAGGGGCUAUCACUACCCUGCAUAAGGUUACAAAUUUGCGAAGCGAGCAGAACUGUUUGGAAAGACAGGCCAGAGACGGUGAUAGCCCGGUAUGCCAAGCGUCGCAAACCUUAUAUUUGUAGGAGUUUGUAUUUGAACUUGUUCAAAGCCAAACUCGUAUGUCGAGUAGGUCGGAACACGAGAAACUCUGACUGAAUCUGGGACGACCACGUCCCAAGGCUAAAUAUAUCUUGCGAUCGAUAGUGAACUAGUACCGCGAGGGAAAGGUUAAAAGAACCCCGGAAGGGGAGUGAAAUAGAACCUGAAAUUGUGUGCGUACAAGGACUGGGAGCCCUUCGGGGUGACCGGGUGCUUUUUGUAGAACGAUCCAACGAGUUAAUUCUUGGUGCCAGCCUAAACCAUUUGGUGGAGGCGCAGUGAAAGCGAGCCUGAAUAGGGCGAAUUAGUACCAAGGAUUAGACCCGAAACCAGGUGACCUAACCAUGGGCAGGUUGAAGCGCAUCUAAACGUGCGUGGAGGACCGAACCGUAGCGAGUUGCAACACGCCCGGAUGACCUGUGGUUAGAGGUGAAAUGCCAAUCGAACCUGGAGAUAGCUGGUUCUCCUCGAAAUAGCUUUAGGGCUAGCGUCGUACGGUAGCACAAUGGGGUAGAGCUCUGAUUCGGACUGGGGCCCUCACGGGUACCCACCCUUGUCAAACUACGAAUACGUUGUGUGGAACUACGGCAGUCAGAACGGCGGGGCUAAGCUCGUCGCUCGAAAGGGAAACAGCCCAGAUCAUCAGCUAAGGUCCCUAAAUGUAUGUUAAGUGGGAAACGAGGUGAGAUUUCUUAAACAACGAGGAUGUUGGCUUAGAAGCAGCCAUUCAUUUAAAGAGUGCGUAACAGCUCACUCGUCAAGAGAUCUUGCGCGGAAAAUGUAACGGGGCUAAACAUACUACCGAAGCUAUGGAUGUCACAUUUAUGUGGCGUGGUAGAGGAGCGUUGAUAGGGCGUUGAAGUUGGACUGCGAGGUCUGGUGGAGCGCUAUCAAGUGAGAAUGUUGGAAUGAGUAACCAUAAGGCAGGUGAGAAUCCUGCCCGCCGAAAGAGCAAGGUUUCCUGGGCCACGGUAAUCGUCCCAGGGUUAGUCGGUCCUAAGCCGAGGCGCGUAGCGUAGGCGAUGGACAACGGGUUAAUAUUCCCGUACUAGCUAUGUAUUGUUCAGUGUGCGCGGCAUAUUAGUUGGAGCGGGUUCAUGGUUAUAUCCGUCUAAGUAUCAGAAAUAGGUACGAAUGAGAUGGCCAUUAGGCUAGAUUCCAGUGAAAGUGCUGACCAGAAAAGCAACUGAACGCGUGUACAUAGCUAUCCGUACCGCAAACCGACACAGGUGCUCAGGUCGAGUAGACCCAGGCGUACGAGUGAUUCUUCGUUAAGGAACUCGGCAAUUUAGCGACCGUAACUUCGGGAUAAGGUCUGCCCCGUCACUAUGUUUACAAACUAGUGACAUUGCCAGUUUUCUUUCUUAGAAAACAGAAAUGAUAUCGAGAUUAAUUUGAGACAACACAUCAGAAGGAAGAGAGCUGACUCUGUUUACUAUGUCUUUGCAGAUAUAGUGACGGGGCCGCAGCUAAGGAGCCCACGCAACUGUUUACCAAAAACACAGGUCUCUGCGAACACGAAAGUGGAUGUAUAGGGGCUGACUCCUGCCCGGUGCUGGAAGGUUAAGGGGAGUGCUUUACGGUGCGAACUGAAGCCCCAGUGAACGGCGGCGGUAACUAUAACCGUCCUAAGGUAGCGAAAUUCCUUGUCUGGUAAGUUCAGACCCGCACGAAUGGAGUAAUGAUGUGGGCACUGUCUCAACGAAGAGCUCGGUGAAAGUGCAUUGACGGUAAAGAUGCCGUCUGUCCGCAGCAGGACGAAAAGACCCCGUGGAGCUUUACUACAGUUUGACAUUGUGUCGAGCUGCAACAUGUGUAGCAUAGGUGGGAGACUUUGAAACUUAGACGCUAGUCUAGGUGGAGUCGCAAUAUGAAAUACCACCCUUGUUGUAGUUUUACACUCACGGGGACCACAAAGAGUAGAAGUCACAGCACGUUUUGAUAUAUAACGGGGC